rnacentral:rRNA from 1 species
UGGGGAAUUUUGGACAAUGGGCGAAAGCCUGAUCCAGCAAUGCCGCGUGUGUGAAGAAGGCCUUCGGGUUGUAAAGCACUUUUGUCCGGAAAGAAAUCCUUGGCUCUAAUACAGUCGGGGGAUGACGGUACCGGAAGAAUAAGCACCGGCUAACUACGUGCCAGCAGCAGCGGUAAUACGUAGGGUGCAAGCGUUAAUCGGAAUUACUGGGCGUAAAGCGUGCGCAGGCGGUUUGCUAAGACCGAUGUGAAAUCCCCGGGCUCAACCUGGGAACUGCAUUGGUGACUGGCAGGCUAGAGUAUGGCAGAGGGGGGUAGAAUUCCACGUGUAGCAGUGAAAUGCGUAGAGAUGUGGAGGAAUACCGAUGGCGAAGGCAGCCCCCUGGGCCAAUACUGACGCUCAUGCACGAAAGCGUGGGGAGCAAACAGGAUUAGAUACCCUGGUAGUCCACGCCCUAAACGAUGUCAACUAGUUGUUGGGGAUUCAUUUCCUUAGUAACGUAGCUAACGCGUGAAGUUGACCGCCUGGGGAGUACGGUCGCAAGAUUAAAACUCAAAGGAAUUGACGGGGUCAUAGCUGUUUCCU